GAUACCGUCUGGUGUAGGUAUGCCGGCACCGCCUCUUGGCCGGCCGUUGCGACGAACACAAACAAUUGUGAAAAAACCACGACCCCGCCAUUGCCCAUAUCCGAGGAUAUUUGUGUUUGACCUGUGCGUCACAGUGUUGGCACCAUUGUGGCUCCGAUAAAGGUGGACCUAGAAUCAGUUCUUCGAUCAAAUACUGACUACACGGUUCAAGGGUGCUCCCGAUAUCUGUUCUAUCGAUCCAUUUUCAUGCUUGGCUGUUGGUGCUUCCACUCAUUGGCACAACCGGGAAAUGGUCUUCGGUUUUCUUGUAUACUGUUACGUCAUUAAUCAUUAUUGCAUUCGUUCUCAUAUCAGGAACGGCAAUAGUAUUCAGAAAAUGGUUGUGUUAAUUUCUUCUACCGAUCGAGCUGCUUGUAUACCCAAUUAAACUUAAUGACGUCCCCAGUCAGUACAUUUAAAUAAAAUGUACGUUCACAAACACUCACUACAUACUUACACAAAUAUUUUAUUAUUGCUUUUAAAAUUUAAUUCGUAAUUUUGCUAAUCUUUAUUAGACUGUAAUAUAGUAAAAAAGCUUUAUAUGCCUUAUUUAUCAUCAAGACACACACGUAUUUUUAUUAUAAUCAUGUACUAUUAUUUAUUAAAUUUGUUAAUACAAAUUAUGUAGCUUUAUAAUUGAAAAAAAAAAAGAUGACUCUGGAGUUUCUUGCCCCCGUUCUUCUCCGUAAAGAACGAUUUGCACUUAAAUAAGUUGGAGCGAGUUUAGUUGUUUGACAGUUUAAAUUAUAAGUAGUUCAUAGAAAUUGCGCUACUGUACUUGUUAAAAUGUAAAUCGGGCUUUAGUAGAAGGGUCCUUUCCGAACGGGGAGUACAUUAUUUACUAUGGCAUAGAAUAGUAAGUAGAAGUAGUUAGAUGGGAGGAUUUUGUCCUACGUCCGCAGGCAAGACCACUGAAACCUGACAUAGAGCCUUUAAUUAUUCAUGGUCAUUAGUGCUGGUUGGUACCAAUAAAGACUAUUCGAUUAAGAAAUUUGAGUACACCUAAAGUCAGUUUUUUAAUCUCAGAUACUAAAUUAACUGAUUCUGAACGGUUCAUCAACAGUCGAUUGUCCCGCGAUUAAGUGACGUAUCGUUCUAUUUGAGGAAGAAACAUAUUUGCUUACGCAUACAGGACUUAGCAAUCAAUUAUUAAAUAAUUACAAAUAAAAUCAUUAUUUCAUUUCCAAGUCCUAUAUUUUUAAACAAAUGUUUCUUUAUCUCAGAACAUAGUAUUAUUAUUAAUUAUGUAUAGGUAUAACUAACUACAAUCUAUGUCAGACUUCAGUUACCCUGCACGUUCCUUCCGGGUGGUGCUAAAGGACUUAUAAAAUUAAAUAUGUAAUGUGUUUUCGUGUUAAAAAAAAUAGUACCUAUUGCCAGUACUUUAUAUAUCUCAUAUGAAGUUAAUACUUUUCAGAAAGCUGAUUCUCAAAUACGCGUGGAAAAACAAAAACCAGUUGGGCUGAAUCUUCAAAGAACCAAAAUUAAGAAAACACGAAAUAAUAUUUUUCAGAACAAAGAGUUACUGUAACGCCCCCCACAUCGCAUAGCCGCCAAAAGUGCAUUCCUGCAGCGUGCAUCGCCUCAACCUGAAUGAUGAAGAAUCUUCUAAGGCCACUGACGGACAAUACCAAAGAGCUACUGUAACGCCCCCCACAUCGCAUAGCCGCCAAAAGUGCAUUCCUGCAGCGUGCAUCGCCUCAACCUGAAUGAUGAAGAAUCUUCUAAAGCCACUGACGGACAAUGUAAACUCAUGAAAUAUCACACCUACAACAAGUUAGAAAAGCAUAAUGAAGCACAAUCCAGAAAAAAGUUAAAAUGUCCUAAAUAAAUACUAUUUAAUGAUCAAAAAA